GGCCCCAGUACCGAGCCCUGGGGGACACCACUAGUGACCGGCCUCCAACCAGAUUUGACUCCAUUCACCACAACUCUCUGGGCCCGGCUAUCCAGCCAGUUUCUAACCCAGCGAAGCGUACGCCAGUACGAUCAUCGAAUCCAACUCCUGGCUCUGCACAGGACCACCUGAAAAUCAGACCAUAUGUCUGAGAGCAUUAUCCAAAUGCUGACUUGUUGCUCUCCCUGGUUUCUGCCAUGGGAGCUCGGCCUGGUGUCCCUGGAUGUCCGCCGGGAGGAGUGGGCCUGGCUCCACCUUGCCCAGCUGGGGCCUGCUCCCUCCCCAUGGCAGCGGCAGGGUGCUGAGCGGCUCUGGAUGGUGCUGGAACAAAAGGGGUGUCAAUGAGAGCUGUCUGCCUCAGGCUGACUCUUUGACAAACAGCAUUUCAAGAAGACUGGGACAAGACUGGGAGCUCGCAGCAGAUGGAAACAGGGACAUGCAACAAAAGAGGAGCAUAGAGGCAUCACUUGUGUGCCUACGGACAAAAUCCAGAAGACCAAAGCCCAGCUGGAGCACAGACUUGAGGCAGACUUUAAGGGUAUCAAGAAGAAAUCCUGCAGGUAUGUUAGCUGAUGAAAGAAAAUCAGGAUAAGUAUGGGUCUGCUCACAGAUCAGGGAGACAACUUAGCCAUGCCUGACACAAAAAAGGCUGAGCUGCUCAAGUACUUGAAGAACAGUCACAGCAAUGAUGGACCCAAAAAUCCCCUUUAGUAGUGCUGGCCCAUAUAUCAAGGGGCAAUGCCCAAAGGCUGUUCAGGAGGAACCUGAGGAACAAAGGGAGUACUGCAGCACAGGAAAGGUGUCAGAGAGGCUCUGGAGGUUUUUGGGACUGAGUUAGACAAAGCCAUGGCUGACCUGACGUGGCUUUGGUGAUAGCUCUGCUGUGCGUGGGAGGGCGGCCUUUGGUUCUGUGGAGCUGCUGGAAGUUGUUGCUGUGACUAUGCCAGAAAAAAGUCCAGUUACUUUCUGAAGUCACUUUUUGAAGUGACUUUUUGAUAUGAGAAGCUUUAGUAUCUCUGUACUUCAGCUUUGAGAAGCGAAAGAGGUUGAAUAUUAUUAGGUCAUGGGUAGAGGACCUAAAGCACUGUCCAUCAAAGCAGCCUUUACUCCUUAGCCCACAAUGAGAACCCAAGAUUUUCUCUUUUGCUGUUCCUCUGCGGUCAGGAGACACGUUCGAAAGCCUCGGGCAAAAUGUCCCAUCUUCCCUGGUGCCAGAGAUGAUGAAACAAACCAGGCUCAGCUCCUGGUCAUGCUUCUGUUUUGAGUGGCAGCAGUCAACUGUGUGUCUGAACUCCGGGUGUGUUUGCACAUAUUUUUCCCCAUUUGACACGUGAAUGUUUCUGACAUGCUCAGAGAUCUGAUAGGGAUGACAGCCUUGAAAAGAACUGGAGGAAACAACUGAUUCUUCCUUCAGAGCAGUAUUAAAUUUUUCUCCAUACAGAAAUAUAAAGGGAAAAACAAAAUAUUGUAUAACUGUUAAGUGAAACCCAGCUGCUCCACACAGUAAAGAAGGCAACAGUCCUUUGGAGGAAAAAAAAAAAGGGGGGGACAUUACAAAGACCAUAUAGUAAAAGAGAGGACCUGCCAGAACU
rnacentral:lncRNA from 1 species